rnacentral:ncRNA from 1 species
UCAACAGUGUUGAAAGGAAUUAGUAACAGUAACACCUAUCUAAAGAGAGUCGAUGGUUGGUGGAAAUCGAUGUUAGAGUGCUGUGAAUCCAUCCUUGAACUGGUUUACGGAAAGGAAUUCCCUCCAAGUAAGUAAACCCGGUAAGUGCCGUUACAACGUGAAAGCCGGAAGAGAUUAUCUCUUCAAUAAGGGUGGCAACGCGGGAAUUAUACUCUCGUCCCUAUC